GUUCUCAUAAAAAGUUGCAAAAAAAUGAGCAGAAACAGUGUCUCAAGAAAUGCAGAUUGCAGAGCUUUCGUGAAAAUUAUAAUUAAGAAAGACACAAGAUCUGUAAGAUGAAAGGAUAAAUUUGUCAAAAAUGGCCUACAAGGAAAAAAGGAAAAUUUGAAAUCUUUUAAGCUGCAAGAUAUCAUUCGCAACUAAUUGAGAAGAAGAAUGUGUGGAAGAAACACCAGCAAGUGGCAGAAAAAAAUCCUACGGAAAGGUGUAUUCGAUAUUGGCAUGAUAUGUGGCAAAAUUUACAGUUUGGUGCA